UUUCAUAUUAUGCUCUAUCGUCACACGAUAUGUCGUCAUAUCCCCCAGCCCUAGGUUGUGUAGAAUAGCAGAUCCAAAGUAGCCAAGGGAGGUGAUAGGUGGAAAUUGCAGAAAAGCAAUACUUUAAUGUAUUGCAGAUGAAGAAUUUCAGGAUACAUGGCUUGUCUUGAAAAACAGAUGGCUGUAGCAGUUUUUAACCUUCAUUUAACCAGAAGCAAUUCUCUGGGUGAAGACAGGGGAGAAGUUUACCAUGAAGUGCUCCACCACUCUAAAAGACCAGGACGGAAUGUACCUGUAUGUUGGGCUGGACAGGGACAGGGAGGUGUUGUAUUACUACCAGCGUGGCUCCAAGCUGACCCCCAGGAAAGGCUACUGGGAGAGAGUGAAGACUGAGGGACCUGUGGACCAACUGACCAUCAUCGUCAGUAACCUGACCAUACAGGACACAGGUGUCUACCUGUGUAUUUACACAAAAUUCAAUGAAACCACGAAUGAAAAUGAAAUCAACCAAGGAAGAGGCUCCACUCUGGUCGUGGUGAAUGACGAUGACCCACAGCUGCCAUGUCCUACAGCUACUGCAGUAACGCUGACCCCCUUUCACCCAGCCAAUGAGAAGCCGUGCGCAUCUGGCGUGGUAAACAUCAUCAUCAUCAUCAUCACCACCACCAGCCUCUUGACCAUCCUACUGUGUGCCAUCUUCCUCAUCUGGCUCCCUCCACGGGUGAAGAGGUGCUGUAACCAGGGAGGAUCCACACCCCAGGUCUUUCCUGACUCGGUCUAUGUAGAAAUGGCCAGGAAUCACAAUUAUCAACCAGACACACAGCAGGUAGAAUCGUACCCCUACUCUGUGUCUACCAAAGGAGGAACUAGGACCACUGAGUAGCUUCUUCAAAUGCCUUUUCUGAAUAUUGCUUCUUUGCUUUCUCAGAAUUGAAAAGCCUGUUCUGCUGUAUUUCACAGUUCUAGCCUCAAUGCAAGUCUUUGUGGUAAAUUGUUUGUGUGUGUCGCACCAUACCAUGCUUGUGUGUGUGAAUAAAAUCUCUAUAUGGAAAGUAUAGGAGGGAACAGCCAAUGUUAUAUUCCAGGGCUAUUCAACUAUAUUCUUACGGGGGCCAGAUGUAAAAAAGGUUAAUUGCAGGGAGCCGGACAUUUUCCACAUGCGACGCACACACACACAAAUAAAGCACUUUUCUUCUAAUGAAAUGUUGCUAAAAGUAGUUAGGGAAGAAGUGGAAAGUGCUCGAUCAACGUGAGUUUAGGUGCAACCAAAAAAGUGCUCCUCAUUGAAAAGGAAAAGGCUCAAUGCUUGCUCACCAUUUUAACUAUUAAAAGAUUCUUAUAAGUAAUUUGGUGAUUUGAAAAUCAUCUGAAAACUAAGUAUCUCAAUAAAUAACAGACAACAACCAUAGUACUUUUCAUUUUGGCACUAAACUUCAGAUUUUGAUGCAGAUAUUUUAUGAAUGGUCAGAAUUGAUCAAAGGGCCAGUCUAAAUUACUGAAUGGGCCGGAUCUGGCCCGUGGGCCGCCAGUUGAAUAUCCCUGUUUUAGUCCAUAAGGUGUACAGUUGAUAGUGAUGGAGGCCUCUCUAUAACUUUUUUCAAUACAUCAGGUCAUAAGAUUUAUAUUCGUUUUAGUUCUGAACAAUAGUGUAGGCUGUGUUGUUCUCUAGUGUUUUUAGGUGAAAAGCUGUUCCUGUGCAUGGUGUCUGCCACAAAGUUAAAAUGAGAACUGUUUGUUAAGACUUUUAUUAUAUUUUAUCAUAGGUACAAAUAUUUUAGCUGCCUAAACUUCAUCAGGUACAUCAGGAUAUAAGCCAUUUUUACAUUACAUUUGAUUAUUCUAUGGUUUUAGUUGAGAUAGCUAGUAGGUUAAAACCAUAAUGAUCUGAGUAAAAAUGUUUCAUGCUGAUACGGAGUAAUGAGUGCAUCUUGUGGUUGGAAAAAUAAUUAUUCAUUUUUACCAAGUGACGUAGUAUUUGUCUUACACUAUGAGUCAGUUUUUUACUUAUGUUUCAACUUCCUAACAGCUUUUUUCACUUUAAAAUAGUUGUAACUGUGUAUUGUAUCUUUUUAAAGGAAGAAAAUAUUCUCACCAUUUGCCUUUUAAUCAAAGUAUUGAUAUAUUCAUGUGUAAUUUAACUUGUGUAUUGAUGUUUAUGUUGUAUUUGUGUAUGUGGUACGCAUUGGUGAUGUUCAGCUAUAUUGUAUGUUUUGGAAAGCUUUCUAUCUCAACCAAGUGAAGACAAGUUCAGACAGGAAACCAGAGUAUUUGCAUCAGCUGAUAUUGCACCAAUUAGAUUCACUCUACCGCUUUCUGACCACCCACCCCAGACUCCACCUGCCUUGUUCGCUGUUUAUUAUUAUUAUUAUUAUUAUUAUUAUUAUUAUUAUGUCAUCAUUACGCAUGCUCUGACAGUGAGCUACCCCAAAGAAGCAGAGCCUAACGCCAAG
rnacentral:lncRNA from 1 species